rnacentral:rRNA from 1 species
AGACGGAGGCGAAGCCGCGAGGCGGAGCAAAUCCGAAAAAAGCCCGGUCUCAGUUCGGAUUGCAGGCUGCAAUUCGCCUGCAUGAAGUCGGAAUCGCUAGUAAUCGCAGGUCAGCAUACUGGCGGUGAAUACCGGUUCCCGGGCCUU